CAAGUCGAGCGGGCGUAGCAAUACGUCAGCGGCAGACGGGUGAGUAACGCGUGGGAACGUACCUUUUGGUUCGGAACAACACAGGGAAACUUGUGCUAAUACCGGAUAAGCCCUUACGGGGAAAGAUUUAUCGCCGAAAGAUCGGCCCGCGUCUGAUUAGCUAGUUGGUGAGGUAACGGCUCACCAAGGCGACGAUCAGUAGCUGGUCUGAGAGGAUGAUCAGCCACAUUGGGACUGAGACACGGCCCAAACUCCUACGGGAGGCAGCAGUGGGGAAUAUUGGACAAUGGGCGCAAGCCUGAUCCAGCCAUGCCGCGUGAGUGAUGAAGGCCCUAGGGUUGUAAAGCUCUUUUGUGCGGGAAGAUAAUGACGGUACCGCAAGAAUAAGCCCCGGCUAACUUCGUGCCAGCAGCCGCGGUAAUACGAAGGGGGCUAGCGUUGCUCGGAAUCACUGGGCGUAAAGGGUGCGUAGGCGGGUCUUUAAGUCAGGGGUGAAAUCCUGGAGCUCAACUCCAGAACUGCCUUUGAUACUGAAGAUCUUGAGCUCGGGAGAGGUGAGUGGAACUGCGAGUGUAGAGGUGAAAUUCGUAGAUAUUCGCAAGAACACCAGUGGCGAAGGCGGCUCACUGGCCCGAUACUGACGCUGAGGCACGAAAGCGUGGGGAGCAAACAGGAUUAGAUACCCUGGUAGUCCACGCCGUUAAACGAUGAAUGCCAGCCGUUAGUGGGUUUACUCACUAGUGGCGCAUCUAACGCUUUAAGCAUUCCGCCU
rnacentral:rRNA from 1 species